rnacentral:rRNA from 1 species
UACGGGGGGGGCAAGCGUUGUUCGGAAUUACUGGGCGUAAAGGGCUCGUAGGCGGCCAACUAAGUCAGACGUGAAAUCCCCAGGCUCAACCUGGGAACUGCGUCUGAUACUGGAUGGCUUGAAUUCGGGAGAGGGAUGCAGAAUUCCAGGUGUAGCGGUGAAAUGCGUAGAUAUCUGGAGGAAUACCGGUGGCGAAGGCGGCACCCUGGACCGGCAUUGACGCUGAGGAGCGAAAGCCAGGGGAGCAAACGGG